rnacentral:rRNA from 1 species
UACGUAGGGUGCAAGCGUUGUCCGGAAUUAUUGGGCGUAAAGAGCUCGUAGGCGGUCUGUCGCGUCGGAUGUGAAACCUCGGGGCUCAACCCCGAGCCUGCAUUCGAUACGGGCAGACUAGAGUUCGGUAGGGGAGACUGGAAUUCCUGGUGUAGCGGUGAAAUGCGCAGAUAUCAGGAGGAACACCAAUUGCGAAGGCAGCUCGCUGGAACGUUACUGACGCUGAGACGCGAAAGCGUGGGGAGCAAACAGG